AACAUUGGGAAAAUGCAUUCUGAAGCCAACGUGUUUCGGAGGGCUCCGCUGUGGAAGAUCUGAGCGCAGCGCGGGCGCAAAAGGACAGGACAGCCAUGCGCCGACCUCGGCGACUUCUCCGCCCGGAUGUGGCAGGUUUCAGAGAGAUGGGACGCCUGCUCCUCCUUCCCCGACCCCCACUCUUUUGGCCUUUGGGGAUAGAUUCACGGUCCGCCCAUGCCGUGCUGGCUGUGCCCACGGCUCCUGGCCUGGAAUUCAGCUGUGCAUCACCACUUCUUGUCUGACCCCCCUCUGUGCUGUGCAUUGUCUCUCAAACCUGGGACCUCAGGAACGGCUUCCAUCCCAUACAAGCUACUGACAGGGCCUGCUGGUGGGCCUCAUGACAUCAGACAGGAGCCUCCCAUCUUCUCCAGGUGAAGGGCUCUUACAGAAGUAACCACCUCUUCAGCUGCUCUGGCCUGAUUCAUGCUGUGUGUCCAGAGGAUCUUCUCCAUGUCUCCAUUGCAGACGGAGGCUGAGGAAGGCAGGUGCUCCAGCCUACAUCUUCCAUUGCCAUUGCUACUGCUCACGGUCAGCGUCACCUGGGAACUGUUGAGCUUUGCUGUCCAGGCAGAGGCUGCUCCCCUUCCUCAAAUGUGCCCUGCAAGGAGUCUAUCACCAGGCCACGUCCUUGGCUUUUGUUUUAGACAUGUCAUGUUACUGUUGUGCAGGGACAGCAGAGGCUCAAUUAGAUGAGAGCUAAGUGACGAGAUCACGUUGGCUGGAAGAGCUGCUACCGUGGCUGGAUGUUUCUGGUUCUUGGAUGACAGCACAAGAAGCUGGGCACCUUGCCUCUUUUUUAAAAUUAAAAGGAAUUUUUGUUUUAUGUGUAUGAGUGUCUUGCCUGCAGGAAUGUAUAUAUGCCACAUGCGUUUUGGGUGCCUGGAACUUGCUGUAUAGAUCAGGCUGGCCUUAAAGUCAUAGAGAUCUGCCUACUUCUGCCUCCUGAGUUGCUGGGGUUAAAGGUGUGGGCCACCAUGCACAGUUUCUUUUUUAAAAUUUUGUCCAUUUAUUUCAUUUAUUGAUUGUGUGUGUGUGUGUCUGUCUGUGGGCACAUGUGCCAUGGCACGUGUGUGACAGUCAGGGGAACAAAUUCAGGUCUUUAGACUUGGUGGCAAGUACCUUUACCACUGAGUCAUGUCACCAGUCCCUGUUUCCUUUUCUCGCCUUUCAUUUUUCUAAAUGAAAAAAAAUUUUUUUUGGAUUUAUUUAUUUUUAU